UGCUCGGACAGCUAGGGGAAGUUCAUUCCACCACCUAGGUGCCUGGACAGAGAAGAGUCUUGAUGCAGGUCUUCCUUGUACCCGGAGAGAUGGAGGGAUCAGUCGAGCAGUGCUAGAGGAUGGGAGGGAGCGUGCUGCAGUGUGGGAGUGAUAAGUGCUUUAAGGACUGAAGGCAGGCGAGAACCAGCAGAACCAGCAGGAGAGAACGAGAGGACAUGACUGCUGCUGCUGCUGCUGCUGAUGAUGGUGAUGAUGGUCACGAUGUGAACAGAAUGGUGCUAAUGCAGAUGUCACCUCACUCUAGAGUUUAUAUAAGCAGGACUGAAGGCAGGCGAGAACCAGCAGAACCACCAGGAGAGAACGAGAGGACAUGACUGCUGCUGCUGCUUCUGCUGAUGAUGGUGAUGAUGGUCACGAUGUGAACAGAAUGGUG